rnacentral:rRNA from 1 species
UACGUAGGGGGCAAGCGUUGUCCGGAAUUACUGGGCGUAAAGGGCACGCAGGCGGUCCGGUCAGUCAGGAGUGAAAGUUUGCAGCUUAACUGUAAAAGUGCUUUUGAUACUGCCGGACUUGAGUCUCGGAGAGGUAAGCGGAAUUCCUAGUGUAGUAGUGAAAUGCGUAGAGAUUAGGAAGAACACCGGCGGCGAAGGCGGCUUACUGGACGAGUACUGACGCUCAGGUGCGAAAGCGUGGGGAGCAAACAGG